UAUAAAGGCUUUAGCCCCGUUGUGUUUGGUGU
rnacentral:piRNA from 1 species